UACGUAGGGUGCGAGCGUUAAUCGGAAUUACUGGGCGUAAAGCGUGCGCAGGCGGUUUUGUAAGACAGGCGUGAAAUCCCCGGGCUCAACCUGGGAAUGGCGCUUGUGACUGCAAAGCUGGAGUGCGGCAGGAGGGGGGUGGAAUUCCGACGUGUAGCAGUGAAAUGCGUAGAGAUGAUGGAAGAACACCGAUGGCGAAGGCAGCCCCCUGGGAUGAGACUGACGCUCAUGUACGAAAGCGUGGGGAGCAAACAGG
rnacentral:rRNA from 1 species